CGAACCGAGCGAACGUUGUUCGGAAUCACUGGGCUUAAAGGGCGCGUAGGCGGAUUCUCAAGUCCGGGGUGAAAUCCCACAGCUCAACUGUGGAACUGCCUCGGAUACUGGGAGUCUCGAGGGUGGCAGGGGUAUGCGGAACUAUCGGUGGAGCGGUGAAAUGCGUUGAUAUCGAUAGGAACUCCGGUGGCGAAGGCGGCAUACUGGUCCACUUCUGACGCUGAGGCGCGAAAGCCAGGGGAGCAAACGGGAUUAGAUACCCCGGUAGUCCUGGCCCUAAACGAUGGGUACUAGCUAGUAGGGUUCACAUGGCUUUACUGGCGAAGCAAAAGUGCUAAGUACCCCGCCUGGGGAGUAUGGUCGCAAGGCUG
rnacentral:rRNA from 1 species